GCGUAAUGAAAGUGAACGGAGGUGAGAACCCUUAAGGGUGCAUCAUCGACCGAUCCUGAUGUCUUCGGAUGGAUUUGAGUAAGAGCAUAACUGUUGGGACCCGAAAGAUAGUGAACUAUGCCUGAAUAGGGUGAAGCCAGAGGAAACUCUGGUGGAGGCUCGCAGCGGUUCUGACGUGCAAAUCGAUCGUCAAAUUUGGGUAUAGGGGCGAAAGACUAAUCGAACCAUCUAGUAGCUGGUUCCUGCCGAAGUUUCCCUCAGGAUAGCAGAAACUCAUGUCGCAGUUUUAUGAGGUAAAGCGAAUGAUUAGAGGGCUUAGGGUUGAAACAGCCUUAACCUAUUCUCAAACUUUAAAUAUGUAAGAAGCCCUUGUUUCCUAUUGUGAACUCGGGCGGUCGAAUGAGAGUUUCUAGUGGGCCAUUUUUGGUAAGCAGAACUGGCGAUGCGGGAUGAACCGAACGUGAGGUUAAGGUGCCGGAAUUCACGCUCAUUUAGACACCACAAAAGGUGUUGGUUCAUCUAG
rnacentral:rRNA from 1 species